UACAGAGGGUGCGAGCGUUAAUCGGAAUUACUGGGCGUAAAGCGUGCGUAGCCGGUCAUGUAAGUCGGGUGUGAAAGCCCCGGGCUCAACCUGGGAAUUGCAUUCGAGACUGCACGGCUAGGGUGCGGAAGAGGGAAGCGGAAUUUCCGGUGUAGCGGUGAAAUGCGUAGAUAUCGGAAGGAACAUCAGUGGCGAAAGCGGCUUCCUGGUCCAGCACCGACGUUCAGGCACGAAAGCGUGGGGAGCAAACAGG
rnacentral:rRNA from 1 species